GACGAACGCUGGCGGCGUGCCUAAUACAUGCAAGUAGAACGCUGAAGAGAGGAGCUUGCUCUUCUUGGAUGAGUUGCGAACGGGUGAGUAACGCGUAGGUAACCUGCCUGGUAGCGGGGGAUAACUAUUGGAAACGAUAGCUAAUACCGCAUAAAAUGGAUUAUCGCAUGAUAAUCCAUUGAAAGGUGCAAAUGCAUCACUACCAGAUGGACCUGCGUUGUAUUAGCUAGUUGGUGGGGUAACGGCUCACCAAGGCGACGAUACAUAGCCGACCUGAGAGGGUGAUCGGCCACACUGGGACUGAGACACGGCCCAGACGCCUACGGGAGGCAGCAGUAGGGAAUCUUCGGCAAUGGACGGAAGUCUGACCGAGCAACGCCGCGUGAGUGAAGAAGGUUUUCGGAUCGUAAAGCUCUGUUGUAAGAGAAGAACGAGUGUGAGAGUGGAAAGUUCACACUGUGACGGUAUCUUACCAGAAAGGGACGGCUAACUACGUG
rnacentral:rRNA from 1 species